AGCAGUAGCCACGGUAAAACGUAGGUGGCAAGCGUUGUCCGGAAUUAUUGGGCGUAAAGGGCUCGCAGGCGGUUUCUUAAGUCUGAUGUGAAAGCCCCCGGCUCAACCGGGGAGGGUCAUUGGAAACUGGGAAACUUGAGUGCAGAAGAGGAGAGUGGAAUUCCACGUGUAGCGGUGAAAUGCGUAGAGAUGUGGAGGAACACCAGUGGCGAAGGCGACUCUCUGGUCUGUAACUGACGCUGAGGAGCGAAAGCGUGGGGAGCGAACAGGAUUAGAUACCCGAGUAUCCCUGUCUCUUAUACA
rnacentral:rRNA from 1 species